rnacentral:rRNA from 1 species
CGCCAGCCCGCUCAGAAACUUAAAUGAAUUGACGGGGCCCGCACAAGCGGCGGAGCAUGUGGAUUAAUUCGAUGCAACGCGAAGAACCUUACCUGGGUUUGACAUACACCGGAAAACCGUAGAGAUACGGUCCCCCCUUGUGGUCGGUGUACAGGUGGUGCAUGGCUGUCGUCAGCUCGUGUCGUGAGAUGUUGUGUUAAGUCCCGCAACGAGCGCAACCCUUGUCUUAUGUUGCCAGCACGUGAUGGUGGGGACUCGUAAGAGACUGCCGGGGUCAACUCGGAGGAAGGUGGGGACGACGUCAAGUCAUCAUGCCCCUUAUGUCCAGGGCUUCACACAUGCUACAAUGGCCAGUACAGAGGGCUGCGAGACCGUGAGGUGGAGCGAAUCCCUUAAAGCUGGUCUCAGUUCGGAUCGGGGUCUGCAACUCGACCCCGUGAAGUCGGAGUCGCUAGUAAUCGCAGAUCAGCAACGCUGCGGUGAAUGCGUUCCCGGGCCUU